rnacentral:rRNA from 1 species
GUGAAUCAUCGAGUCUUUGAACGCAUCUUGCGCCCCGGUGGUAUUCCGCCGGGCAUGUCUGUCUGAGUGUCAUUACUAUCUCAACCCUCGCCAUGUUGUCCUGACGUGGCGGUGAGGAUUGGAACGUGGACUUGGCGGGUUUCGCCCUGCCGGUCUUAAAUGGAGUAGGCUAGCCGACGAUUUUUAGCGGUUGGACCGGGUGUUGUUAGAGUCGCCUCACUCGGGACGCUGAUCGGAUUAGUUGAAUUGUAAUUGUCUUACUCGAGCACUUUAGACCUCAGAUCAGGCAGGAUUACCCGCUGAACUUAAGCAUAUCAAUAAGCGGAGG